GACUUAAUGUCAAGAGGAAACCUUUACCUUUAUUAUACUGACCAUAUAAUGCAGUUUCAAACUGUAUUAUAUGGAAAUGUAGAUGGGGCCAGAAAGGUAAUGCUAUAGUAGAAUACUCUUCACAGAGAAAGUUAGCAUAGGUGAAGAUAUAAGGUAUAUACCACAGAUAUAAAGUGCAGGGUUAAC